rnacentral:rRNA from 1 species
GCACCCUUCGGGGUGAGUGGCAGACGGGUGAGUAACACGUGGGAACGUGCCCUUCAGUUCGGAAUAACCCAGGGAAACUUGGGCUAAUACCGGAUACGCCCUUACGGGGAAAGAUUUAUCGCUGAAGGAUCGGCCCGCGUCUGAUUAGCUAGUUGGUGGGGUAAAGGCUCACCAAGGCGACGAUCAGUAGCUGGUCUGAGAGGAUGAUCAGCCACACUGGGACUGAGACACGGCCCAGACUCCUACGGGAGGCAGCAGUGGGGAAUAUUGGACAAUGGGCGCAAGCCUGAUCCAGCCAUGCCGCGUGAGUGAUGAAGGCCUUAGGGUUGUAAAGCUCUUUCGGCGGGGACGAUAAUGACGGUACCCGCAGAAGAAGCCCCGGCUAACUUCGUGCCAGCAGCCGCGGUAAUACGAAGGGGGCUAGCGUUGUUCGGAAUCACUGGGCGUAAAGGGCGCGUAGGCGGCUUUGUAAGUCGGGGGUGAAAGCCUGUGGCUCAACCACAGAAUUGCCUUCGAUACUGCAUGGCUUGAGACCGGAAGAGGUAAGUGGAACUGCGAGUGUAGAGGUGAAAUUCGUAGAUAUUCGCAAGAACACCAGUGGCGAAGGCGGCUUACUGGUCCGGAUCUGACGCUGAGGCGCGAAAGCGUGGGGAGCAAACAGGAUUAGAUA